rnacentral:rRNA from 1 species
GAAAGUAAAGAAGGGCGCACGGCGGAUGCCUAGGCUCUCAGAGGCGAAGAAGGACGCGACAAGCUGCGAAAAGCUGCGGGGAGGUGCACAUAACCUGUGAUCCGCAGAUCUCCGAAUGGGGCAACCCACCAGGUUGAAGGCCUGGUAUCCUGGAGCAAUUCAGGAGGCAAACCCGUUGAACUGAAACAUCUUAGUAGGCGGAGGAGAAGAAAACAAAAGUGAUUCCCCCAGUAGCGGCGAGCGAAGCGGGAAUAGCCCAAACCAAUCUUGUUUAGGCAGGGUUGGGGUAGUAGGACUGCAUAAAGAUAAUAUUAAUACGAAGUGGAAGCAUCUGGAAAGUUGCAUCAUAGAGGGUUAAAGUCCCGUACACGUAAGUAUGAUAUUACGAGCAGUAUCCUGAGUAACGCGGGACACGAGGAAUCUUGCGUGAAUCUGCCGGGACCAUCCGGUAAGGCUAAAUACUCCUGAGAGACCGAUAGUGAACCAGUACCGUGAGGGAAAGGUGAAAAGCACCCCUAACAGGGGAGUGAAAUAGUACCUGAAACCGUGCGCUUACAAACUGUUGGAGCCCUUUAGUGGGGUGACAGCGUGCCUUUUGCAUAAUGAGCCUACGAGUUAUACCUUGCCAGCGAGGUUAAGUGUUGUUAGACACGGAGCCGAAGCGAAAGCGAGUCUUGAAAGGGCGCUAAGUUGGCAGGGAUAGACGCGAAACCUAGUGAUCUACCCAUGGUCAGGUUGAAGUUUCGGUAACACGAAAUGGAGGACCGAACCGGUAAACGUUGAAAAGUUUUCGGAUGAACUGUGGGUAGGGGUGAAAGGCCAAUCAAACUGGGAAAUAGCUCGUACUCCCCGAAAUGCAUUUAGGUGCAGCCUCGAUUAAGAGUUAUCCAGAGGUAGAGCUACUGAUAGGACGCGAGGGCUUCACCGCCUAUCAAAUCCUGACAAACUCCGAAUGCUGGAUAAUGUUUUUCGAGAGUGAGGGCAUGGGUGCUAAGGUCCGUGUCCGAGAGGGAAAGAACCCAGACCAUCAGCUAAGGUCCCCAAAUGUAUGCUAAGUUGAAGAAAACGCGGUAUGGUUGCAGAGACAGCUAGGAUGUUGGCUUGGAAGCAGCCAUUCAUUUAAAGAGUGCGUAACAGCUCACUAGUCGAGCGACCGUGCAUGGAUAAUAAUCGGGCAUCAAGCAUACUACCGAAGCUAUGGAAUGAUACUUAGGUAUCAUUGGUAGGGGAGCAUUCCAGUCAGCGUCGAAGCAGUAUCGUGAGGUAUUGUGGAGCGUCUGGAAAAGCAAAUGUAGGCAUAAGUAACGAUAAUGGGGGUGAGAAACCCCCACGCCGAAAGACCAAGGAUUCCUGAUCAACGUUAAUCGGAUCAGGGUUAGUCGGGCCCUAACACGUACCCGUUAGGGGAAGUGGAUGGCAAACAGGUUAAUAUUCCUGUACCCGUUAUACAACAAAAGUGACGUAUAAGAGAGAUGUCUGGGUGCUGACGGAAUAGCACGCUGAGCUUAGGUUUCGGCCGAAGCGAAGGCAAGCAUCUUGUACCGAGAAAAGCGAGUAUAACGGCUCGUACCGUAAACGGACACACGUAGUUGGGUUGAGUAUACUAAGGCGCUCGAGUGAUCCACGGCUAAGGAACUCGGCAAAUUAACCCUGUAACUUCGGGAGAAAGGGUUCCUGUUAAGCGAUUGACAGGACGCAGAGAAAUGGCCCAGGCGACUGUUUAACAAAAACACAUGGCUAUGCAAAAUCGAAAGAUUAGGUAUAUGGCCUGACACCUGCCCGGUGCUGGAAGGUUAAGAGGAGAUGUCAGGAGCAAUCCAAAGCAUUGAAUUGAAGCCCCAGUAAACGGCGGCCGUAACUAUAACGGUCCUAAGGUAGCGAAAUUCCUUGUCGGGUAAGUUCC